GAAGUUUUCAUCCUUCCAUUGACAGGCCUUCCCAGACUCUGCCCUAGAGCAUCACACACGCUUCCGGAAGCUCAGCCCCCCUGCUGCCUCGCCGAUCAGAUUAUGAACUCCACCUGGAUCAGGAGCACGUCUGAUCCGUUUAUCGGGGAAGCUCCACGGAGCCUGUGCACAGAGCCUGCACGUAGUAGGGCUGUGUAUCCUCGCGUGCACCUUGUGUGUGCGUGAUGCACGGACACUGGCCGUUGGGACCUAGCUGUUGGGAUGUCGUCACAGGGACGAGCCUUUUGUCACCUCCAAUCCCCUGAGUUAAUCCCCAUGCUGUGUGAGGGGUUUGGGUUUGGUGCCGUGGAGGAGAUGACAGCACCUCACGUAUGGUUGUGCCCUCCAGACGCCCAAAGUCCAACGGGACAGAUAAAACGGGACCGCGGUUGUCACAGUGUCUGAUAGAAAUCGAUAAAUAGAACUAAAAUGUUCUGUAUUUAGAGGAAAGGAAGGUUUAUGGGUAAGACUGUCAGAUAAAAAUCAAGAUGCCCAGUUAAACUUGCAU